rnacentral:rRNA from 1 species
UACAGAGGUCCCGAGCGUUGUUCGGAUUCAUUGGGCGUAAAGGGUGCGUAGGCGGUCCACUAAGUCACACGUGAAAUCCCCAGGCUUAACCUGGGAACUGCGUGUGAUACUGGAUGGCUUGAAUUCGGGAGAGGGAUGCAGAAUUCCAGGUGUAGCGGUGAAAUGCGUAGAUAUCUGGAGGAAUACCGGUGGCGAAGGCGGCAUCCUGGACCGACAUUGACGCUGAGGAGCGAAAGCUAGGGGAGCAAACGGG